AUUGGUUGAAAAUCACCCCCGGCUUUGGCCAUGGCCGCGGGUAAGAUUUGGCACCCAGAGCCUCCAGGGGCCUCAGUUCACCACACGCUGCCACAUGUGCGGCGGUGAAACCCAGGCCCCGCGGCCU